ACAGUUCACUGGAUCCAUUACAAAGGCUCCCUUUAGGAAAAGACAGUUGAAAAUCUUAAGUAAAUUGUCAAAGAUGGGAACUUGCCAUUGCUUCUGAGUCAGAUGAAGGAAGUAGGGAAAGUGUUUCUUGUCACUGACAGUGACUAUAAAUAUACAGAUAAAAUCAUGACUUACCUGUUUGAGUUCCCACAUGGCCCCAAGCCUGGGAGCUCCAAUCAACCACAGCAGUCUUACUUUGGUCUGAUUUUGGAUGCACAGAAACCUUUUCUUUUUGGAGAAGGCACAGUACUAUAUCAGAUGGAAAACUGGGAAACUGAAAAUUGGUACCUACACAGGCCCUCUACUGCCUGGCAUCACCACUCAGGAGAUUUAUCCGAUAUAGUCUGUGACCUGUUGGGUUUUAUAUAUUGAAGAUCACAUGUUUUGGAGACAUUUUUAAGUCAAAGAAGCAACAAGGGUAGAGAGUUUUCCUGGCAGUUCCUUAGCUUGCACAAGAGCUCCAUGUCUGGCCUGACAAGAGUUCACUUUCUGAAGACUUCAGAGCUUGGAUAUUUUCUUGGCUGAAAUCUACAAGCACCUUGACAGCAGUAACAUUGAGUACCGGGACAUUAGUUCCAGCCAGAGACAGGUUAAGAAAGUAACUCAUAACAUGGGUGUGUGCAGUGGGAUGAUGGGAAGCCUGUUUCAAAACGGCUCCCAGAAGGCACUUUGUGCCAGUCGAGUGAUGUGUGACAUUGAUCUCCAGACAGCAUCGUUCAUCAACCCGCUGUACAUUCAGCUCACUGGUCAGAGCUGCCCACGCCUUGAGGCUGCAGAAAUCAACAGUGGAGCACACACAUCAGUAGAUUUCAAAGACACCGACCAUCUGUGACACCAGUUCACAAGGUCCAUUAGUGAGAUCAAGAUCCCUGACCCCUUCCUACUAGCUCCAGAGAAGAUUAUACACCUCCAUCAUGAAGAUGAUGAUGAAGAGGAAGAAUAA